AUGCCACACACAAACCCGGGGGUCCUUCUGUGUGUGUGUGUGUGUGUGUGUGUGUGUGUGUGUGUGUGUGUAGGAUGCCACACACAAACCCGGGGGUCCUGCUGUGUGUGUGUGUGUGUAGGAUGCCACACACAAACCCGGGGGUCCUGUUGUGUGUGUGUGUGUAGGAUGCCACACACAAACCCUGGGGUCCUGCUGUGUGUGUGUGUAGGAUGCCAUAUACAAAGCCGGGGGUCCUUCUCUGUGUGUGUGUGUGUGUGUGUGUGUGUGUGUGUAGGAUGCCACACACAAACCCCAGGGUCCGUGUGUGUGUGUGUGUGUGUGUGUAGGAUGCCACACAAACCCCGGGGUCCUUCUGUGUGUGUGUGUGUGUGUGUAGGAUGCCACACACAAACCCGGGGGUCCUGUUGUGUGUGUGUAUGUAGGAUGUCACACACAAACCCUGGGGUCCUGUUUGUGUGUGUGUGUGUGUGUGUGUGUGUGUGUAGGAUGCCACACACAAACCCGGGGUCCUUCUGUGUGUACAUGUGUAGGAUGCCACACACGAAUCCCAGGGUCCGUGUGUAUGUGUGUGUGUGUGCAGGAUGA
rnacentral:lncRNA from 1 species